rnacentral:lncRNA from 1 species
AGAUUUACAUGUUUUCUUUCAUGCCACGUAGCCUACCCUAAACGCCGUUUGGUAUCACAUCAAACGUUCUUCACUUCUCUUUCAACGUCUCAUCUCUCAUGUUUAAACACCCAUCGAUUCUGCAAUUCCCGUUUCUCCUGUAAGCGCACCCGAUUUCCUCUCCAACAAGAACACGGAAGACAUCAGCCCAAAAAACCCUAAUUUCACAGACAAGCAAAUCAAAAAUUCAUCUAUGUCGUCUGAUGAUUGAUGACCUUUCCAAUUUCCUCAAUAGAGAACACCGACAACAUCAUCCACCAAAAAAAAAACAUAAUUUCGCAGCCUGUGAUUUCGCCACUUGAUCUUUGUCGACUGGGGAUUGAUUGAUGUUCCCAGAGUCUUCAAAAGAGGUUAGACGUCACUUACUUUUGACUUCAAUAGUAUGUUUUCCCUAUAUUUUUACUGUCACUUUCCCAUUCCGUUACAUUCUUAAAGGAUUUUUUAUCUAUGUUCAUACGUCAAUCGUCCAUCUGUGUCAAACAUGAUUUCUUUCCUAAAUUUUCAAAAUUAACAUCAUGAAAAAUAAGGUUAGCCGUUAGCCAUUACACAUUAGUCAUUAUCCAUUAGCCGUCAGUUGCUCUAGAAAAAUGCAAAAUUCAAAUUAAAUAAGAGAUAAAUCAACUAAAAGAGGUUGUCGGUUGUUCUGCAGAAAUCUCACCACCAUCACUUGCGCUUUCCAUUGUGCCUCACACUUUAGUUUUUGUCCCACUCUGUUUUACGUUUUCAAUUCAUGGACAGGUUGUGAUGUCCACAUUUGAAGAUUUUUUUAUGUAAUAUGGAUUUUUAUUAACAAAAGAUAACUUUGAACCAUUAUCAAAAAGCAAGUACAUCACACUGAAUUGAUCAAAUUCAUAACAAAAAAAACAUACUAAAAGAACAAAUGAUGGUUUUCAAAGGAACUCAAGGAGUCUAUAUGAAUUUGAACUUACAACUAUUGAAUUCAUUAAAAAGGCCUUAAACCUUCUGUUGUUAACCUAAAAGAACUUUAUCCUCCUUUCAAGAACCCACACCAAGUUGAAAAAAUCAAGGGAAAUGCAAGCAAUCUAAUAUUUUGACAAAUAAAAUCUUCACAAGUAGACAUCUCAACCAAGGCAUCAUAACUUGUUGAAAAAGAAAAAAUGUUUACUUUUCAACAAGUUUUAAUGUAAUUACAUUUUCAUGAGUUGUCAAUAUUUGUGUUUACAUAAUGUUAUAUCAAAGUCAAAAAAGAAGAAGAAAGUACUAUACAUAUAACUUCAUCAUGUAAAAUUAUCUACUAUCAAAUAAUUAUAAGAAUUGGAUCUUUUAGAAAAAAGUUUGUUAAUAACAUAUAGAACAGGAUUCUACUUACCAACUUACCACAUUUUGUAACACCCGAUCUUAGGUACGCAUUGUAGCACGUGGUUCCUGGUACGUAAAUCUUAUUUGAGUAUUUCUCUUCUUUUAGCCUUGGACUCGGCGAGUCAUAGGUCCGACUCGCCGAGUAGAUGUGGGACCCGGGACACGUUUAAGUUGGCGACUCGGCGAGUCCAUAUCCUGGACUCGGCGAGUCACAGCUGUUGGAUGAAACCCUAAGUUUCAGGGGUUUGCACCCUAUUUAAACAACAUAUCUGCCCCAAGCCAGCCCCCAUUCACCUCCCAGAGCUCCCAACCCUCGUUCUAAGCUUGUUCAUUGAGAGUUUGAAGCCAUUGUUGUGUGUUCUUGAAGGUUUUGAGGCAAAAGGGGAAGUAGAUCAAGAAGAAGGGAAGGAAUCCAGGCAUCUUUGUACUCCUUCAGUAGUUCCUUUGAGCCGGAGGAUUUCCGGAGCAGCAGCAGCAGCAGUAGGCAGUCAGUUCCCGAUCAGAUCAGCAGCUACUUCGAGGUGAGUUACCUUCCAGUAGCGGUGGGUUUACGGCUUCAAUGUCGGCCCACCAAUAGGAGUCGUAUGAUAGAUGAUUGUCUUUGUGAUAUCAUCUAGGUUGCUACUACCUGAUAUGUUAUGUGCUAGCAUGAUAUGUUACAUGAGAUAGAAGUAGAGAUCGGUUGAUAGGACCGAAGGGUAGUUCAGACACCCCAGAAAUGUCUGACAGUACGUGAUAAUAUGUUUGCAUGCUGGCUUGUUAUGUUAUAUGCAAUAGAGAUAGUAGGAGGGGACUAGUCCCCGAGGAUCAGUUGUUUGGACCGAUGGGUAGUCAGCACCCCAGAAUGGCUUGACACGGGUAGUCAGCACCCCAGAAUAGCCUGGCAGUAUGUAUGUUUUAUGUUUGUAUGGUGUGUGGUACGAUGGAGGAACUCACUAAGCUUCGUGCUUACGGUUUUCAGUUUUGGUUUCAGGUAUCUCCUCAGCUAGGGGAAAGGAGCCGGCGUGGUAGCAGCAUGUCACACACACACACUCUCUGGUUUCCGCAUUUACGAGAUUCUCUGGGAUUUAUACUCUGAUAUUUUGAUUGGUUGUAUGAUUUGGCUUUUAGACAUGGUUUAUGUUGUGUUAUGGUUUGAUCAAACAAUGUUUUAAUUACUAAUGUUUUCUAAAGUAAUGUUUUAAAACGAAAUUUUUGGACGUGAAAAUUGGGUCGUUAUACGCAUUUAGUUCAAGUCAAACUUCAUAUUUUACCCUUGGACUCGACGAGUUAGAGGCUCAACUCGUCGAGUAGGAUCAACUCUGGGUCGGGGAACUAAGUGACCUACUCGACGAGUCGGAAUACUGACUCGGCGAGUAGAAGUUGUCUGUUGGAAACUCUGAUUUUUAGGGUUUGUCCCCCUAUUUAAAGAAACAUAACACCCUUGUGGCCUCCUUAUCACUCCUUCAACGUCCAGAAAACCCUAACUCGCCACCUUGAGCCUUGUGAGUGUUUGAGUGCCAUUUUUGAGUAAUCUUGUGUGAUUUGAAGUUUGUGUGAAGAAGAGGAAGAAGGAGGACUUCAAAAGAAGAUUGUAGAUCCAGGAACAACAACAUUUUCUCCUCCCUUUCUGGUAAUCAAGCUCCAUACUUGACUUGUAUUUUCUUAGAUCUCCCUGUGGCCAUUUUUAUGGAGUUUUGGGUCCAAGAAGCUUAAUCCUUGGGACUUGGACGUCCCAAGUUAAUAUAUCUUCAGAUCUGGAACCUUGGAGGGUCCUCAUGGCAUAAAGGUGCCAUCUUUAUGGCCAUGAGAACACCAUGUGUGAAAUAAACCCCAUUUUUGGUCCUUUGAGCAUAAAAAUCCCACACAUGUACGUAAAGUUCAUGACUUUACGUAUUAUAUCGAAUUAAGGACCCCAGAUCUACCUUUUGGAUGAGAUUUGUACAUCAGAAAUUGAGUUAUGGACUUGGACAAUAGCCGACUCGAUGAGUCGUUCUUGGGACUCGACGAGUCCGGGGGUUUGGUUCCCCCAACCUGUUGUGAUUCACAGGGAAUCAAGUUGAGUUUAGAAGGGAUGUAGUUGAGUCUAGAAGAAGGACCCAACGAAAUACACUUAGUUAUGGACCUGGAAACCAUGGGACUCAGCGAGUGUAUGAAUGCACUUGGCGAGUCCAAGGCCAUCUCCCAAUCCAUGAAGAGGGACUCGACGAGUUGUUCAUACAACUCGGCUAGUCACAGUCUAGACGUACUCAUUCGAUGAAACUGGAAUCGACGAGUUCAAGGAUGAACUCGGCGAGUCUGUUGAAGAUUGUCCCGAUGUUAUAGUUGAAGGAUAACUCGUCGAGUCUUGCUAGACUCGACGAGUAGAGUCGGGGUUGGGGACAGAUGAAAAAUAAGGACUUGGCGAGUUGGCGGACCAACUCGGUGAGUCAAGUCAUCUGGAUGUUGACUUUGACUAGAAUUUUGACCUUGGCCAGGGGUAAAAUAGUCAUUUUACCCUAAGAGUAGUUAUCAGCUUUUGACUAAGUAUCUUUAUGGAAAUUAUAGUCGGGGAGUCGCCGGAGCAGCAAACAGGGAUUUCUCACUUAGAGUUUCAGCAGCCAGUCAGAAGAGGUGAGUUUCGUUUUAGUAGGAAUGGGUCUAAGGCACAAAGGCUGGCCCGUACCGUGUUAUGAUUAGUAGUUGAGUGUGGGCGGGGCCCAUAUUUCUCGGUAACGGAGUUUGAUUAUGAUAUAAGUCUGAAUGAUAGAUCUAGUUAUACUUGUUGUCUGUGUGAUACUUCUAUGUUUUCCUAGUAGCUAAGUGUGGGCGGGGCCCGUAUCUCAUAGUAGCCGAGUGUGGAUAGGGCCCGUAUCUCAUAGUAGUCGAGUAUGGGCGGGGCCCAUAUCUCGUGUAGCUGAGUGUGGGCGGGGACCGUAUCUUAGUGUUAGCGAAGUGUGGGCGGGGCCUGUAUCUCCUAGUUGGCGGAGUGUGGGCGGGGCCCGUAUCUCCAUGAGUGUGGGCAGGGCCCGUAUCUCCUAGUUGCAUGUUACGUGUGUAUGGUAUGUGGUAGUUUGGGGGAGCUCACUAAGCUUCGUGCUUACAGUUUCAGUUUUGGUUUCAGGUACUUCAGCAAGCAAAGGGAAGGGCUCGAGUUGAUGGCAUGGCACACACCACAGUUUCUAUUAGUCUGAGAGCUUACUCUGAUAUUUAUUAUGAGACAAUUAUACGUUGACCAAUUUUAUGAGACAUUGAGAAACAUGUUUGAU